rnacentral:rRNA from 1 species
UGGCGAACGGGUGAGUAACGCGUGAGGAACCUGCCUCAAAGAGGGGGACAACAGUUGGAAACGACUGCUAAUACCGCAUAAGCCCACGACCCGGCAUCGGGUAGAGGGAAAAGGAGCAAUCCGCUUUGAGACGGCCUCGCGUCCGAUUAGCUAGUUGGUGAGGUAAUGGCCCACCAAGGCGACGAUCGGUAGCCGGACUGAGAGGUUGAACGGCCACAUUGGGACUGAGACACGGCCCAG